rnacentral:rRNA from 1 species
UACGUAGGGUGCAAGCGUUAAUCGGAAUUACUGGGCGUAAAGCGUGCGCAGGCGGUUGUGCAAGACAGAUGUGAAAUCCCCGGCUUAACCUGGGAAUUGCAUUUGUGACUGACACGGCUAGAGUGUGUCAGAGGGGGGGUAGAAUUCCACGUGUAGCAGUGAAAUGCGUAGAUAUGUGGAGGAAUACCGAUGGCGAAGGCAGCCCCCUGGGAUAACACUGACGCUCAUGCACGAAAGGCGUGGGGAGCAAACAGG